rnacentral:misc_RNA from 1 species
AACAAGGCGUACCUGCGGACCUGCGGAGGGAUCAUUACAAGUGACCCCGGUCUAACCACCGGGAUGUUCAUAGCCCUUUGUUGUCCGACUCUGUUGCCUCCGGGGCGACCCUGCCUUCGGGCGGGGGCUCCGGGUGGACACUUCAAACUCUUGCGUAACUUUGCAGUCUGAGUAAACUUAAUUAAUAAAUUAAAACUUUCAGCAACGGAUCU